AUCAGGAGCAGAGAAAACAUGGUCCUCUAAAGCAUCAGAGGUUGGAUCGGAUACCAUGGAGGAGUGAGCAUCCCCUUUACUCAUAAGCAAACACCUAUAAUUUGGAUUUGCCUUUAUGGAACUUCUUUAAUAAGAUAUGGCAUCAGUCUCUAGAAAUGCUACAUUAGAUAGUUUACUGUGUACAGGUUCAAGGAGCAAUCCAGUAAGGAGCCAUGAAGAAGUCAACCAUGAAAAAGUUUGAUGGUCCCCUCCAUUUGGCAUCAGGGACCAAACUACAACCAUAAUGAAUCAAAGUUACUGCACAUUCCUCAGAAUGAAUAUU